UCAAGUGAAUAAGUGCAUAUGGUGAAUGCCUUGGCGAUUACAGGCGAUGAAGGACGUAGUAGCUUGCGAUAAGCUGCGGGGAGUGAGCAAACACACUUUGAUCCGCAGAUUUCCGAAUGGGGAAACCCGGCACUGUAGUGUCACCCGAGAGGGAGCGAACCCGGAGAACUGAAACAUCUCAGUACCCGGAGGAAAGGACAUCAAUA
rnacentral:rRNA from 1 species